ACGGAGGAUCCGAGCGUUAUCCGGAUUUACUGGGUUUAAAGGGUGCGUAGGCGGGCGCUUAAGUCAGCGGUGAAAUGCGGGGGCUCAACCUUCGAACGGCCGUUGAUACUGGGUGCCUUGGAUUCGGUCGAGGCAGGCGGAAUGCGACAUGUAGCGGUGAAAGGCUUAGAUAUGACGCAGAACACCGAUUGCGAAGGCAGCUCGCCGGGCCGAUAUUGACGCUGAGGCACGAGAGCGUGGGGAUCGAACAG
rnacentral:rRNA from 1 species